rnacentral:rRNA from 1 species
GAUGAACGCUGGCGGCGUGCUUAACACAUGCAAGUCGAACGAAGCACUUUAUUUGAUUUCCUUCGGGACUGAUUAUUUUGUGACUGAGUGGCGGACGGGUGAGUAACGCGUGGGUAACCUGCCUUGUACAGGGGGAUAACAGUUGGAAACGGCUGCUAAUACCGCAUAAGCGCACGGCAUCGCAUGAUGCAGUGUGAAAAACUCCGGUGGUAUAAGAUGGACCCGCGUUGGAUUAGCUAGUUGGUGAGGUAACGGCCCACCAAGGCGACGAUCCAUAGCCGACCUGAGAGGGUGACCGGCCACAUUGGGACUGAGACACGGCCCAAACUCCUACGGGAGGCAGCAGUGGGGAAUAUUGCACAAUGGGCGAAAGCCUGAUGCAGCGACGCCGCGUGAGCGAAGAAGUAUUUCGGUAUGUAAAGCUCUAUCAGCAGGGAAG